CACCGGGCUUUAUCGAAGACCGUUUGGCGUUAUACACACUGCGUUAACUGGUUCAAAAUGAAGCCCAAAGCAAUUUUUGAUACGACGGUCUCUGAUCUGAGCAUUAACAGCCGUUUCAGUAACUUUACGUACAAUUACAAAC